rnacentral:rRNA from 1 species
AAAGACAAGAAGACCCUAUCGAGCUUUAAAAAAUUUUUCUUAAAAAAACUAAGAAUUUAUUAUGAAAAUAAUUUUAGUUGGGGCGACUAAGGAACAUUAAAAGCUUCUUUGCUUAUAUAUAAACUUAUAUGUUUUGAUCCAAAAUAAUGAUUAACAAAAUUAGUUACCGUAGGGAUAACAGCAUAAUCUUUUUUGAGAGUUCUUAUCGAAAAAAAGGUUUGUGACCUCGAUGUUGGACUAGGGUAUCCGAAAGGUGUAGAAGCCUUUAAAGGUUGGUCUGUUCGACCACUAAUACCCUACGUGAUCUGAGUU